CGAGUACUCCCUCCGUCCGGAAAUACUUGUCAUCAAAAUGAAUUAAAGGGGAUGUAUCUAGAUGUAUAUUAGUUCUAGAUAUAUCCUUUUUAUCCAUUUUGAUGACAACGGAGGGAGUAUUUA
rfam:Triticum aestivum genome assembly, contig: Triticum_aestivum_CS42_TGACv1_scaffold_650544_T_2BS-0.152142_6BS-0.109967